AUACGUAGGGGGCAAGCGUUAUCCGGAAUUAUUGGGCGUAAAGCGUGCGUAGGCGGUUUAUUAAGUCUGAGGUUAAAGCGUGGGGCUCAACCCCAUAAAGCCUUGGAAACUGAUUGACUAGAGUACGGGAGAAGUGAAGGGAACUCCAUGUGUAGCGGUGAAAUGCGUAGAUAUAUGGAAGAACACCAGUGGCGAAGGCGCUUCACUAGCCCGAAACUGACGCUCAGUCACGAAAGCGUGGGUAGCAAAUAGGAUUAGAUACCCUAGUAGUCCACGCUGUAAACGAUGACAACUAAAUAUUGCCGCGAGGCAGUGUUGAAGCUAACGCAUUAAGUUGUCCGCCUGGGGAGUACGGUCGCAAGACUGAAACUUAAAUGAAUUGGCGGGG
rnacentral:rRNA from 1 species